GAUGAACGCUGGCGGUGUGCCUAAUACAUGCAAGUCGAGCGAACAGACGAGGAGCUUACUCCUCUGACGUUAGCGGCGGACGGGUGAGUAACACGUGGAUAACCUACCUAUAAGACUGGGAUAACUUCGGGAAACCGGAGCUAAUACCGGAUAACAUUUUGAACCGCAUGGUUCAACAGUGAAAGACGGUCUUGCUGUCACUUAUAGAUGGAUCCGCGUCGCAUUAGCUAGUUGGUAAGGUAACGGCUUACCAAGGCAACGAUGCGUAGCCGACCUGAGAGGGUGAUCGGCCACACUGGAACUGAGACACGGUCCAGACUCCUACGGGAGGCAGCAGUAGGGAAUAUUCCGCAAUGGGCGAAAGCCUGACGGAGCAACGCCGCGUGAGUGAAGAAGGUCUUCGGAUCGUAAAACUCUGUUAUUAGGGAAGAACAAAUGUGUAAGUAACUAUGCACGUCUUGACGGUACCUAAUCAGAAAGCCACGGCUAACUCCGUG
rnacentral:rRNA from 1 species